UUAUCCGGCUUCACUGGGUUUAAAGGGUGCGUAGGCGGGUAGGUAAGUCAGUGGUGAAAUCUUCGAGCUUAACUCGGAAACUGCCUUUGAUACUAUCUAUCUUGAAUAUUGUGGAGGUAAGCGGAAUAUGUCAUGUAGCGGUGAAAUGCUUAGAUAUGACAUAGAACACCUAUUGCGAAGGCAGCUUACUACGCAUAUAUUGACGCUGAGGCACGAAAGCGUGGGGAUCAAACAGG
rnacentral:rRNA from 1 species